rnacentral:rRNA from 1 species
UGGGGAAUAUUGCACAAUGGGCGCAAGCCUGAUGCAGCCAUGCCGCGUGUAUGAAGAAGGCCUUCGGGUUGUAAAGUACUUUCAGCGGGGAGGAAGGGAGUAAAGUUAAUACCUUUGCUCAUUGACGUUACCCGCAGAAGAAGCACCGGCUAACUCCGUGCCAGCAGCCGCGGUAAUACGGAGGGUGCAAGCGUUAAUCGGAAUUACUGGGCGUAAAGCGCACGCAGGCGGUUUGUUAAGUCAGAUGUGAAAUCCCCGGGCUCAACCUGGGAACUGCAUGUGAUACAGGCAAGCUUGAGUCUCGUAGAGGGGGGUAGAAUUCCAGGUGUAGCGGUGAAAUGCGUAGAGAUCUGGAGGAAUACCGGUGGCGAAGGCGGCCCCCUGGACGAAGACUGACGCUCAGGUGCGAAAGCGUGGGGAGCAAACAGG